CUCAAACUAAACAAUGUUUCUUAGGAAAAGCUGAAAACAUUAAGUCAUUACUUGGGAAUUUCUUUCGCUCAAACCAACAUUAUUUGUGAUUUCAGACCUGUUCAAAUUCCACUGAAUCAUCCUUGAAGCAAUGCUAAAUGCAGUAACUGAGGGAAAUCCCAUUCUUAAUGGUGAAGAACCAAAAAUCUUAAGAGACCAGGAACAAUCACCACCUCCUGCAGCCCCGAGCCAAGGUUGAAAAGAAGAAAUGUGCCAAUUAGCUAAAAGGGCACAGAGGAACACCUUUGAAACAUCUCGAGAGGACAGAAGGUUACAGGGAUAGAUGUAUAGAUGUUGGGGAUUAAUAGACCCUAGCCUUCUUCUAAUCAGUCUGAAGAUUUUAAUUUCCAGUACUACCAGCAGAAUUUAAAUGUGCAUUUAAUUGCAUAAAUGUUGCCAAGUAUCAUACUUUAUAUCUCUACAGUCUUUAUGAAUAUUCAUGUAAAAUAAUAAUUGCAAAUAGGUUGUCAAUAGAGCAGAUAGUCUGAAAUACUUAAUAAUAACUAUCAUUAUAAUAAUCGACCCUUGUAUAGCAUUUCCUCUCCAAGGUAUACAAUGGCCUUUUCUUUUCAUAUUAACAAAACUUAAUUAGACUACUUCCCAAUCACCUAGGAGACUGCAUAGUGAAAGAGCACAAUGAGAAAGACUGGUCUAUAAUAAAGAAGGCUGCUCUUGUAGACUAGUCAUGAGCUACAAUGGAAGCAGCAUGGAAUGAGAAGGCAGAGGCACGUGCACCAGGGCGCUGACCUUGAGCAAUCAUUCUCGACGUGCAUUUGCAAGCCCUAAAUAAUUUAGCUUCAUUCUCCACCUCUUAUCCAUCGUGACUAUUCAAACUGUACAUCCCUUGAGAGCAGGGCUUAAGACUUUGUGACUGUAACUGAACGAGGCCAUGCACAAGGAUUAACUUCAUUCUGAUGUGGGUCUGCAGGCAGUGUUGCAAUAUGAACAGAUAAUACCAA
rnacentral:lncRNA from 1 species